GCAAGGAAGUGAUCCUGGUUUUAGACAUGUUCAGCACCUUGAGAAGAGGCAUGAAACCAAAGAAAGAGUCGGGUAAAACUCUAAGGCGGAAGUUUCUUUGGAGUAACAACAUCAAAAGAUUGGGGCAUUCUGGUCUAGCAGGCAGGCUGGACAAUUCAUUAUCCAUUAGAAAAAUCAUCUUUGCUGGUUCCCACUCUUCCUCUGGAGGAGGUUCUGCUAAUCCUGCCCCAGCCAUGAACAAGUAUUCAUGGUGAUCUUCAGGUCUCCACAUAUGGUAUCUUUCUAUGCUUUCAAUUGGUGAUAAUGAAUUACUUCCUAG
rnacentral:misc_RNA from 1 species